GCAUUCUUUCCCUCGUCCAGGGAUGCGCCAGGGAUCAGCCUUUCGGAGAGGGCCACAUGUAGAACAGCUCUCAUGUCGCAACGGGAGCACGCAAGAUCGGAGUUGGAAACGAAGAAAGCGCGCAAGAAAUCCGCGGAGGAGGAGCUCAAGUGCCUCGGGGUGGACGCCACGAUCCAGUCGCGACAGGUGGAAAAUAUUGCCGAUUGAAAUAUCUCCUUUCUUUCGCAGACAAGACUGGAGAGCAAGCACCUGGAGAUUGCCAAUACGAGAUCACUGCUGGAAGAACUCAAGGUAGGAAAAUCUCUCAUGAAACUCUCUUGCUCUACAAUGUGCAUUGGGACGGGUCCUGGUGAAAGCCGGAUCACAAGGAGGUGCAAGACAGUUACACAUUGCUUGUUCUCGUCAAAAUAUUUCGAUUGAUUGA